UACAGAGACUGCAAGCGUUAUUCGGAUUCACUGGGCGUAAAGGGUGCGCAGGCGGCCGUGUGUGUGAGGCGUGAAAGCCUGGAGCUUAACCCCAGAAUUGCACCUCAAACUACACGGCUAGAGCAUUGGAGAGGGUAGCGGAAUUCACGGUGUAGCAGUGAAAUGCGUAGAUAUCGUGAGGAACACCAGAGGCGAAGGCGGCUACCUGGACAAUUGCUGACGCUCAGGCACGAAAGCGUGGGGAGCAAAAGGG
rnacentral:rRNA from 1 species